GCUUGAGCACGUAGGUGGGUUUGUAAGUCAGAUGUGAAAGCCUUCUGUUCAACGGGAGAAUUGCAUCUGAAACUGCGAGUCUUGAGUGUAGGAGGGGAGAAUGGAACUUCUGGUGGAGCGGUGAAAUGCGUAGAUAUCAGAAGGAACGCCGGCGGCGAAAGCGAUUCUCUGGCCUAUUACUGACACUCAGUGCGCGAAAGCUAGGGGAGCAAACGGGAUUAGAUACCCCGGUAGUCCUAGCCGUAAACGAUGGGCACUAAGUAGAGGGAAUUACCGAUGUUCUCUCUGCCGUAGCUAACGCAUUAAGUGCCCCGCCUGGGGAGUACGGCCGCAAGGCUAAAACUCAAAAGAAUUGACGGGGGCUCGCACAAGCGGUGGAGCAUGUGGCUUAAUUCGAUGCAACGCGAAAAACCUUACCGGGGCUUGACAUGGUAGAAGUAGGAACCCGAAAGGGUAACGAACGGUAUCCAGUCCGUAGCUUUCACAGGUGUUGCAUGGCUGUCGUCAGCUCGUGUCGUGAGACGUUGGGUUAAGUCCCCUAACGAGCGAAACCCUUGUUUUUAGUUACCAGCGGGUUGUGCCGGGUACUCUAGAAAGACUGCCGUCGUCAAGACGGAGGAAGGUGGGGAUGACGUCAAGUCAUCAUGGCCCUUAUGCCCCGGGCUGCACACGUGCUACAAUGGUCGGUACAAACGGAAGCGAAGCCGAGAGGUGAAGCGAAUCCAAGC
rnacentral:rRNA from 1 species